rnacentral:rRNA from 1 species
GAGUUUGAUCAUGGCUCAGGAUGAACGCUAGCUACAGGCUUAACACAUGCAAGUCGAGGGGCAGCAUGAACUUAGCUUGCUAAGUUUGAUGGCGACCGGCGCACGGGUGAGUAACACGUAUCCAACCUGCCGAUGACUCGGGGAUAGCCUUUCGAAAGAAAGAUUAAUACCCGAUGGCAUAGUUCUUCCGCAUGGUAGGACUAUUAAAGAAUUUCGGUAUGGGAUGGGGAUGCGUUCCAUUAGUUAGUUGGCGGGGUAACGGCCCACCAAGACAACGAUGGAUAGGGGUUCUGAGAGGAAGGUCCCCCACAUUGGAACUGAGACACGGUCCAAACUCCUACGGGAGGCAGCAGUGAGGAAUAUUGGUCAAUGGACGAGAGUCUGAACCAGCCAAGUAGCGUGAAGGAUGACUGCCCUAUGGGUUGUAAACUUCUUUUAUAUGGGAAUAAAAUGUUCCACGUGUGGGAUUUUGUAUGUACCAUAUGAAUAAGGAUCGGCUAACUCCGUGCCAGCAGCCGCGGUAAUACGGAGGAUCCGAGCGUUAUCCGGAUUUAUUGGGUUUAAAGGGAGCGUAGGUGGAUUGUUAAGUCAGUUGUGAAAGUUUGCGGCUCAACCGUAAAAUUGCAGUUGAAACUGGCAGUCUUGAGUACAGUAGAGGUGGGCGGAAUUCGUGGUGUAGCGGUGAAAUGCUUAGAUAUCACGAAGAACUCCGAUUGCGAAGGCAGCUCACUGGACUGCAACUGACACUGAGGCUCGAAAGUGUGGGUAUCAAACAGGAUUAGAUACCCUGGUAGUCCACACAGUAAACGAUGAAUACUCGCUGUUUGCGAUAUACAGUAAGCGGCCAAGCGAAAGCAUUAAGUAUUCCACCUGGGGAGUACGCCGGCAACGGUGAAACUCAAAGGAAUUGACGG